GCCUACGGGGGGCAGCAGUGAGGAAUAUUGGUCAAUGGGCGAGAGCCUGAACCAGCCAAGUCGCGUGAGGGAGUACUGCCCUAUGGGUUGUAAACCUCUUUUGUCGGGGAGCAAAAGCCGGACGUGUCCGGCUGUGAGAGUACCCGAAGAAAAAGCAUCGGCUAACUCCGUGCCAGCAGCCGCGGUAAUACGGAGGAUGCGAGCGUUAUCCGGAUUUAUUGGGUUUAAAGGGUGCGCAGGCGGAUUUUUAAGUCAGCGGUCAAAUCGUGGGGCUCAACCCCAUCAAGCCGUUGAAACUGGGGAUC
rnacentral:rRNA from 1 species